AGGACCUGGGCUGACACACUGAUUAACAGGGGAACAGAUGAGGACUGGGUUCAGAGGCCUACUGUACAUUUGAGUACUCACUGCAGGUUACCACUGAGCCAUCGGACGAGGAUGCUGACCCAUAAUGAUCCUAAAAUCCUCUGGGUACUGAUCUACCUGUACCUGGUCAGAGCCGUUGCUGGGGCUGGCAGGAACCAAAUCUGCCUCUUGGAUACUGAGAACUAAGGCUUUGUAGAACAUCUUUUUCUCUUUUAAAUUGCAGGUGUCCUAGCUCACUUACUUAUGGUUUAUGAAACUAGCCAAUUCUACUUGAAGGCCAGCCUGAACGAGCAACAGCAAGCCGACUCAGAUGAUAGCAUCAGCUCAUCCAGCUCUUUGGUCAAAACCAUUGCUCUCAAUAUCACCAUUGCCCUUGCCAAUAAUCAUAAUAAGAGCUAACAUUUAUCGAGCACUUAAUUUGUGCCAGGCAGCCUGCCAAACACCAUGCAUGGAUUAUCUUAUUUGAUUCUCAUAACUACUCUGUAAGGUAGGCCCCAUUUUUUUCCCCAGAGAAGUUAAGUAUUUGCUGAAGGCCACAUGACUAAUAAACGGCAAAAUUUAAAAUCAGGUCAAUCUCAUUUCACAGCCUGUGCUCUUAACUACUAGAAUGAGCACAGCUGUCAGUGAUACAUCCGGGUGAGGACCUCAGACUUGACUCCCUCUGCCUGAUUGCUCGUGUUUCUUUUGCUGCCUUUAAGGACCUGCCUCUCUGAUGAAAAUGGACUUCCUAACUCUGUGAUACCGUGGAAUCUUAGAGAGGAUGUCACUGCACCCUGCCCACCAAUUUGAUGUGGUUUAAGGUGCCAGCUGCUGAUAUCUGCAGGCUGCUAACAUGACUGCUUAACCACCUAUCUUGGAACAGCUUGGUAUAGCAAGCCCAGGGGUGGCUGCUAGGAAUUCUGAACCAACGCAAAAUGGAGAAGCCACCCUUCUCGCAGCUGCAAGAUUUUGCAUUCCCACCAGCAAGAAUGAGGAUUCCAAUUUCUCCACAUCCUUGGCAACACUUGUUAUUGUCUGUCUUUUUGAUUAUAGCCAUUCCAGUGGAAGUGAAUUGGUAUCUUCUUGUGGUUUUGCAUGGCAUUUCCUUAACAACUCAUGAUGUUGGGCAUCUUUUCAUGUACUUAUUGGGCAUUUGUAUAUCUUCUUUGGAGAAAUGUCUAUCCAAAUUCUUUACCAAUUUUUAAUUGAGUUAUUUAUAAUUUUAUUGUUAAGUUUUAAGUUCUUUAUAUAUUCUGAAUACAAGUCUCUUAUCAGAUAUAUUAUUUGCAUGUAUUUUUGACAUUCUAUGGUUUGUCUUUUCACUUUCUUGAUGAUGUUCUUUGAAGCACAAAAGUUUUUAAUUUUGAUAAUCAAUUUACCUAUCGUUUCUUUUUUUUUUUUUUAUGCUUUGGUUGUCAUAUAUAAGAAAAAAUUGCUAAGUCAAGAUCUUGAACAUUUGCUCCUAUGUUUUCCUCUAGGAGUAU
rnacentral:lncRNA from 1 species